AUGUUCAACGGAUGUGAUUCAUUAAAGAAGAGUAUUGUAUUGAAGUCACAAUUUCAUAUGUGGGGGCAAUAAAAGAAAGUUAGGGUACAAGAGAUAGAGAAAUGUAAGGAAAUUAGUUUGAGAAACUGAUACCUCUGAUUAGUGGUCCCUUUUUUUAUCAUAUCUUUAUAAAACAUUAACAGAGAUGGAUCAUACAAAAAUCUGUACAUAUGCUUCUUGUUUCUUUAAUUAAUUAAUAUAUACUUAUAGAGAGAGAGAGUAUAGCUAGAGAGAGAGAGGAAUAGGUCAACUUUGAAUAGCUGGAAGAAAGGCACAAAACCUCAUUACUGUUGAGAUCUCUCUCUAUAUAAGAUGAUACUGUUUACAAGAAAGAUAUAUAAGCUUUACAAGAGUAGAGAGUGCUAUUUCCAGCCAUAAAUUCUCUAUUUUUGUUCUUCUCUAUCUAUCUAUCUUUAUUCAGUUUAUG
rnacentral:lncRNA from 1 species